UACGAAGGGGGCUAGCGUUGCUCGGAAUCACUGGGCGUAAAGCGCACGUAGGCGGAUCGCUAAGUCAGGGGUGAAAUCCUGGAGCUCAACUCCAGAACUGCCUUUGAUACUGGCAAUCUCGAGUCCGGGAGAGGUGAGUGGAACUGCGAGUGUAGAGGUGAAAUUCGUAGAUAUUCGCAAGAACACCAGUGGCGAAGGCGGCUCACUGGCCCGGUACUGACGCUGAGGUGCGAAAGCGUGGGGAGCAAACAGGG
rnacentral:rRNA from 1 species